UAUCCUGAAGAUUAUCAUUAUUAUGCUACGGAUUUUUACAUAGAUAUCUGUUGGAACUUGAGCUGAUUCACGUAGUACGAGUCAUGUGAAAGCCGGAACCGUGGAAAGUGAACUAUGAGAGAGUGUGAUCAAUAUUUUUUUUAUUUAUUUCUUUUUAUUCACAAUUUGUACAAUUUGGACAUUUGGUAGAAUUUUUUAACAGUAAUAUUAUCAUGUCGGUGGCUACCCCCAGCGGAGUGCCAUCCUCGCGUUUGCUAGGUUAUAUCCUUUGUGAGGUCUGCUGAGUGUUUCCUUUUUAGUCUUCUUUCCAUGUUUGAGGCGUUGAUCGUCUCCGCAGCUAGCCGGUUUGAGUGUGUUGCUAUUCUUUCUUUGUAUCUUUCCGCAUAACUGCUAAUUACUUGCUUGACCGUUGGUAUUCUCAGGUUCCUCCGUAUGUCCUCGUUUCUAACGUACCAUGGGAUGUUUACUAUCAUUCUAAGAAUUUUAGUUUGCAUUGUCUCUAUUUUGUUUAUACGACUCAUUGCUGCCGUCCCCCAUAGUGGUAUUCCAUUCCAUUCAAAUGCCACAUUUAUUGUAAAUUGCGAUGAACUUGUUGACAUUCUUACAAACAUCGUGGUCCUUUCUCUAUUUCGUUGGUGUCGGAGUCCGUUCGAACUAGUCGACUAAUGACGGAAGUUAUUUAUGUUACAAAGAUAAGAAGCCGAACGCGUCUUUAAAUGACAGAUUUAACGCCAGUAUUACUCAGUUCAUAGAUCACUCGCAAUAUUUAAUUGCAAUAGUGUCUGUGCCGAUCAUUUCUUGCCUGCAAUGUUCAAACCAAAUUCCACAAAAAAUACGAAUAGAAGGAAAAGGUUGAAGAUCAAUGCCGUGCCCGAACCAUCAAAGUAUUUAUUAGAAAAUAAUGAAGAAAAAGAAAAUGUACAAAAAAGGCAGCUCGUGAUUAAAAAAGCAGAUGAUGAGAGAAGAAGAAGGUCAAAACGAAGACAAAUGACAUCAAUACCAUCACUAUCACUGCCAACAACAGCAAGUGAACGUGACGUAGUUUAUUGGUAUAGACGUUCUCUUUUCUUGGUGUCAAAAAUGACAUUGUGUAAAAAGUAAAUUUUAAUAAUUUCACACCACCUUCGUACACAUAUAGUGAGUAACUUUAAUAUUUGGAUAUAACAAAA